GACGAACGCUGGCGGCGUGCCUAAUACAUGCAAGUAGAACGCUGAAGAGAGGAGCUUGCUCUUCUUGGAUGAGUUGCGAACGGGUGAGUAACGCGUAGGUAACCUGCCUUGUAGCGGGGGAUAACUAUUGGAAACGAUAGCUAAUACCGCAUAACAAUGGAUGACACAUGUCAUUUAUUUGAAAGGGGCAAUUGCUCCACUACAAGAUGGACCUGCGUUGUAUUAGCUAGUAGGUGAGGUAACGGCUCACCUAGGCGACGAUACAUAGCCGACCUGAGAGGGUGAUCGGCCACACUGGGACUGAGACACGGCCCAGACUCCUACGGGAGGCAGCAGUAGGGAAUCUUCGGCAAUGGGGGCAACCCUGACCGAGCAACGCCGCGUGAGUGAAGAAGGUUUUCGGAUCGUAAAGCUCUGUUGUAAGUCAAGAACGAGUGUGAGAGUGGAAAGUUCACACUGUGACGGUAGCUUACCAGAAAGGGACGGCUAACUACGUGCCAGCAGCCGCGGUAAUACGUAGGUCCCGAGCGUUGUCCGGAUUUAUUGGGCGUAAAGCGAGCGCAGGCGGUUUGAUAAGUCUGAAGUUAAAGGCUGUGGCUCAACCAUAGUUCGCUUUGGAAACUGUCAAACUUGAGUGCAGAAGGGGAGAGUGGAAUUCCAUGUGUAGCGGUGAAAUGCGUAGAUAUAUGGAGGAACACCGGUGGCGAAAGCGGCUCUCUGGUCUGUAACUGACGCUGAGGCUCGAAAGCGUGGGGAGCGAACAGGAUUAGAUACCCUGGUAGUCCACGCCGUAAACGAUGAGUGCUAGGUGUUGGAUCCUUUCCGGGAUUCAGUGCCGCAGCUAACGCAUUAAGCACUCCGCCUGGGGAGUACGACCGCAAGGUUGAAACUCAAAGGAAUUGACGGGGGCCCGCACAAGCGGUGGAGCAUGUGGUUUAAUUCGAAGCAACGCGAAGAACCUUACCAGGUCUUGACAUCCCGAUGCUAUUUCUAGAGAUAGAAAGUUACUUCGGUACAUCGGUGACAGGUGGUGCAUGGUUGUCGUCAGCUCGUGUCGUGAGAUGUUGGGUUAAGUCCCGCAACGAGCGCAACCCCUAUUGUUAGUUGCCAUCAUUCAGUUGGGCACUCUAGCGAGACUGCCGGUAAUAAACCGGAGGAAGGUGGGGAUGACGUCAAAUCGUCAUGCCCCUUAUGACCUGGGCUACACACGUGCUACAAUGGUUGGUACAACGAGUUGCGAGUCGGUGACGGCAAGCUAACCUCUUAAAGCCAAUCUCAGUUCGGAUUGUAGGCUGCAACUCGCCUACAUGAAGUCGGAAUCGCUAGUAAUCGCGGAUCAGCACGCCGCGGUGAAUACGUUCCCGGGCCU
rnacentral:rRNA from 1 species